AGUGAACGCUGGCGGUAGGCCUAACACAUGCAAGUCGAACGGCAGCACAGUAAGAGCUUGCUCUUACGGGUGGCGAGUGGCGGACGGGUGAGGAAUACAUCGGAAUCUACUUUUUCGUGGGGGAUAACGUAGGGAAACUUACGCUAAUACCGCAUACGACCUACGGGUGAAAGCAGGGGAUCUUCGGACCUUGCGCGAUUGAAUGAGCCGAUGUCGGAUUAGCUAGUUGGCGGGGUAAAGGCCCACCAAGGCGACGAUCCGUAGCUGGUCUGAGAGGAUGAUCAGCCACACGGGAACUGAGACACGGUCCAGACUCCUACGGGAGACAGCAGUGGGGAAUAUUGGACAAAGGGCGCAAGCCUGAUCCAGCCAUACCGCGUGGGUGAAGAAGGCCUUCGGGUUGUAAAGCCCUUUUGUUGGGAAAGAAAAGCAGCAGGUUAAUACCCCGCUGUUCUGACGGUACCCAAAGAAUAAGCACCGGCUAACUUCGUG
rnacentral:rRNA from 1 species